UUCAAAAGCUAGUUCUAAUGGAGUGACUUGUAUUGUGUUUGUGGUCUUGCCACUUUCCAUCCUGCAUAGGAGAAGUCUCCAACUUGCAUUUCCUCUUGCACAGUUGCAUUGCUUUCCAAGCAUUCCUCUGUUUGCCACCUUAAAAUUGUGAACUCCAACAUAUUUAGUUGGCGAAGAUUUGCUUAAAAAACAAUUUUAUGCUGAUAUUCUAUGAAUAAUUACACUUUUAUGGUUGGUUGGUUGCUCUAAUAUGACACUUAGACCCUGGACGUUCUCUAUUUUUUCUCAAUGUGAAACUCCCAUCAAUCAAUCAUGGUACUGACCUAGCAUUCCUAUGCAUAUAUGUUUGUGCUUGUGCUUCUAAGCUGAUGGGGCCACAUUGCUUACUAUGGGUCUUCAUCACUGAUUUCAGGAUAAAAGCACUUUAACUAUCAGGUAGCUUGGAAGAACAUCGGCAUACUCCGUUAUGUCAGCUUGGAGGUUGUUGCAGCUUUUGGUUGCCUCUCUCUGUAAAUAAUCAACAUUUGAGUAGUGCACCGUUGCUAUGAAGGCCGUGUUCUCUGCUUGGCUUUAUGCAAAUAGCAGGCACGACUUCCUCUCUUUAGUUUGGUUCUCGUGGAUGCUCAGGGACACAACUACGUUAGCUCUUUGGAGUGAGAAUGCCGAAGCCUCAAAUGAAUUACUUUGGCUAUGGGAUGCGCUUUCAAAAGGCAAGACUCUAAAAUUAUGAUUUCUCGAGCUGCUUCACUGCUAGCUUUCUUUCCUAUUGCCAGGAGCUUCGUGUUCAUGCAUUUUCUCUGCAUAUUUUGAUUAUAGUGAUGUUAUGUCUCAGCAAGCAAUUGUUCUCAACUAUGCAUCUAUACAAAUAUGCCAGGCAUUGUUGCAUUGUGCUAAGGUAGUUUUCGGUGUGGUUUGCCAAUUUAUUAUCACAUAUAUGUAAAAUUGCUUUCCAAGCCAACCCACCCACCCAUAGGACUUGGUUAAAAUUCUCCUUAUUUUUUUCUGACCAAAAAAAUCUGGUUUACUGCAUUUCCAUUGCACCAAUGGUGGUAUGAUAUCACAGUCGUGUUUAAAUUAAGGCAAUCAGCUGUACACAUUCAGCAAACUAAGGGUUGCUUUGGCAUAUAUUGCUAGCUCUGGAUUUGUUGGACAUCCUUUUAUGUAAAAAUAUCUUCCAACGCAUACAACUUUUGAGCUAUACAUGUCAUUUGAACCUUAAGAUGAGCUUUAACAUAGAUGAAAAAUAUCUUCCAACACAUGCAACUUUCGAGAUAUACAUGUGAUUUGUUCAUCCUGACUAUAAUUUAUGUAUAGCUUUAUAGCUUUAUAGUUUCUGAAUCUUUUAUUUUUCUUAUUCCUUUGGUUUUUCAAAUGACAUGUAUAUCUUGAAAGGUGUAUGUGUUGAAACAUAUAUUUAUUCUAUGUUAAAUCUCAUCUUCAGGAUCGUUAUACAUGUCUCGCAGUCUGAUUAUUUUUAAAAUAUAAGCCAAAUUACUAAAUAUUGGUCCCUGGAGUUUCACUUGUCAUAACAGGUGAGUAUUUUGCUCUCAAAACUGAUAAAUAUCUUUGAUUGGGUCUCUAUGCUAGAAAAUUUAUUGUUGUUCAGUUGUCAGGCAUGAUAAAAUGCUUUAUAAAGUUUUGAAUUUAGUUUUGGGUGAUGAAUAUUAUCUCUUUAUUACAAUUAAGGUUCAGAACUUGCUAUUUUGCUUAUCCUCAUGUUAAUAUGAAUCCUUGUCUAGAAAAGAAAAAAAACGAGUUCAGAUAAGUAAUGUCAUGCAACUCGAAGGGUUGGAGAAGCGGGCGCUGAUAGCGGCGCUUGCCUCUUCAUGCCCUCUACUCAAGCGAUUUGAUUUGUCUCCCUCAGUGUGCAAUGCACCAUGGAUGUUUGUCUCAGGUCAGGUUUAUGAUGCGCCUAGCGUGUAUUUUGUCUGGCCUUUGAGGGUUAGGAUCCGUGUCCUGCCAGAAUAGAUGCAGCUCAUGUAUUCGUAGGGUAUUUUCAUUUGUAUUUCUUUUUUGGAGAACAUCUGUUUCUUUUUGUUUAUGUGAAGAACACAUCUGAAUAUUCAUUAGACGUGAAAUGACAAAUGAGUUACCGUGAAUAGCAAGAACUAGGGUAUUCAAUAUAUGUGCUUUGAGGUAUAUAGCUCAGAGACCUACACUGUUCUUAACUAAAAUUAAUUCUAUUUGUCACACAAAGUAGUGGCAUCGUUGCUACUGUCACUGUCAGUGUACAUUUUAGUUUCUUAUGCUACCUUCUUUUUUGUAAAAUUAUUUGAUUGUUCUCAGAUUCCAAAAGAAAAGGAAAUUCUCUAUUGCGAUGCAGUUAUAAUCUUAUAUUCGAAUUCAGUGCAUGCUCUUUUUCCGUAAUAGUUUCAUGGUUUCUUUAACUAUGACUGUGGCAUGUUCUUCUUACCUAGGUCAGAAAACCUCAUGGAAAGGUCAGCCAAAUUACUGAUAGAUGUUAUAUUACAUUUCAACAUUUUAUUGAGCAUUUGUUCUUUGUGUCGAUUCUAAUGUAUUUAAAUGGUGCAGACAUCUUUGAGUCAUGGAAUAAAAUUAUCAUAAUAAUAUUAUACAUGUCUAUAGAGACGAAGUUGAAACCAAGUUUGUCUUCACUACAUUAGUGAGAAAACCCAUUGGAAUGCCUUUGCUCAGGCUCCUAUCCCAUGGUCAAGCACCUGUUCGCAGUCUGGCUUACUUAAAAAAUUGGCCACUAAUAACUGAUUACAUUUCAUUGAAGAAACUUGGAUAAGAGCACAAUCGCACCUUCCAAAAUAAAUGCAGUUUUACCUAUCAUGUAGGUAUUUGCUCCUUCACAGUCGCUGUAUAAACCAAAAGCCAACAUUAUUGCAAGCCUGCCAUCUGUUAGUUUGACAAAUAUUUAAAUCUAUAUAUGCUGCAUUCUUGUUAUCGCAUUUAUAUUCUAAGUUGUACGGAACCGAUAGUACUUUUCAGUUCUUUGUCAUAAUUACCCAAAUAACAGUUAAAUUUUGCUUGUUCUUUCUAUGGAGUAACUAAUCGAGCACCAAUUAUUGCCAUUGUGGGAAUGGACAUCCGUAUUUUUCAUUAUGUUUUAUUGAAAAUAUAUAGAAGCUUCCUUCUUUUGGGAAUGUGUAGAUGUAACAAGUGCCACUUGAAUAAGCCAUAUAUCACUAUAAGAAGACAUUGAUUCCAAUUUAUUUUUUUCUUGCAGCAACCAUCUGAACUUUAUCUCCAUCAACAGGUCAGGCUAGCCCAACCACAAGAAAUAGAGUACUUAUAUUGUUGAAACGAAGAGUUUGCAUAAAAAUAACUGUUGUGCGAACUCGACAACGGCUUCGAGUUGCAAACCCUCGCUCUGGCUCUCGGGUUUCCUGCACCGCCAUCUGCACAUGCCAAAAGCAAGGUCAGACCCAGCUCUGCGCCUCCGCCCUCAACCUUCUGAUGCCACAGCCCUCCAGAGACGGCAACAACAGUACCGUUGUCGGACCCUCCUUGCCCUUCCAGUACCAACUACCAAGGAAGGAAAUCGUCAUCGUCCUCUCAUCUGACAAGGAGGACAAUGACACCAGGUACUGAGGAGCUCAAGGUGAACGAAAAGUCGGAGCAACUACAACAGCGUACCACUGAUGUUGUGUAACAACAGUAUGGCUAUGAAUCCUUAAUGCAGAUCGCUCCUCUACUGCUAAUUAGGGUAAUAUAUGGACAGUCACAAUCUCUGGCUGAAGCAUGUGGAAAUAAGAGUCGGUGUUGUGUGAAAUAGUCCAGUAGAACAAUGCACCAGCCCCAUCUGGCUUAUGUAAACAAUGUUUGUAUGAAAAUCAAAAUUAGGCUGCU